rnacentral:rRNA from 1 species
CAGCCAUGCCGCGUGAGUGAAGAAGGCCUUCGGGUUGUAAAGCUCUUUCGGACGGGAAGAAAUGGCGGGCUCUAACAUAGCCUGUCGAUGACGGUACCGUAAGAAGAAGCACCGGCUAACUACGUGCCAGCAGCCGCGGUAAUACGUAGGGUGCGAGCGUUAAUCGGAAUUACUGGGUUUAAAGGGUGCGUAGGUGGGCUUAUAAGUCAGUGGUGAAAUCUCCGAGCUUAACUUGGAAACUGCCGUUGAUACUAUAGGUCUUGAAUUAUCUGGAGGUCAGCGGAAUAUGUCAUGUAGCGGUGAAAUGCUUAGAUAUGACAUAGAACACCAAUUGCGAAGGCAGCUUACUACAUAUAAAUUGACGCUGAGGCACG